CUGAGAGGCAGACUUGGUGGCGGGGCCCACGGCACAGGACAGGGCGCAAAGGCGCAGUCCCCGGAAGCAAGGAGGCCUGUUGACCUCGAAGACCUUGGUAUGUUGUCUGUGAAGGUCCGAGUGGUGACUCAUGGGCACUUGGGGAGACUGAGUCAUCACAGUAGCAGGGACGUUGUUUAGUGGUGUGUGUCUGCUUAAGUCCUGAUCCUGCCCCCGUGCGUGGGCGCAGCCAUGUGGGUGGCCUGCGUGUGUAUCCGUUUUUGUUGACGAGACUGUGCCGGAGUCCAGAGCCCCUGGGCCACAUGCCGGCCCCCUUGCUCAUACAGGUCCCUGUAAUUGGUGUGGACAGACCCCCCACCCACGGAGAUCGCCAGUUCCACGCCAGGGCCCUCCCUGGGCUCUGUGGCCGCCUGGCCUGCGGUAACCCGGGUCUCCCCGUGGUCCUGAGAGCCCUGUAGCCAGCACGGGGACCCCGGCCUGACCCGGACAUGCAGGCCUCCUGAAGGCCACGCGGCCCCCCUCCUGGUCUUCCCUCGUGGGCCUCCUUGGCCUCUGCCCAGUCGCCCCGUGUCCUCAGCCGCUCUAUUGCCCGUUUGCCUCACCCCAGGAGGACAGACAGACCACUGGUGCGGGGACCUUACCUGCAUGUCUGCAGUAAAACAGCCCCUGGCACCCACUGGGUGCUGAGUGCAUGCUUGUUAGUCGGAGGGGCUUGGUCCCGGAUGAAGGACACAGUCGUCAUCCCCUGUGUGCUGGGGCUCGGGGCCCCGACGACAGCCGAGGCGCCGUCCGCACGUCCUGGCUGUCUGCUCGGGGCAGGCGCCUGGCCACUGACUGAAUUUGAAGCCAACAGCUUCCUUUAUUACUGAAGUAAACACUUUUAAAGGCGAA